rnacentral:rRNA from 1 species
AGUGAACGCGGCGGCGUGCCUAAUACAUGCAAGUCGAACGGAAUUUAAAAGAGCUUGCUCUUUUAAAUUUAGUGGCGCACGGGUGAGUAAUAUAUAGCUAAUCUGCCCCUUGCUGGAGGACAACAGUUAGAAAUGACUGCUAAUACUCCAUACUCCUUUUUACCAUAAGAUAAAUCGGGAAAGAAUUUCGGCAAGGGAUGAGACUAUAUCGUAUCAGCUAGUCGGUGGGGUAACGGCCUACCGAGGCUAUGACGCGUAACUGGUCUGAGAGGAUGAUCAGUCACAUUGGAACUGAGACACGGUCCAAACUCCUACGGGAGGCAGCAGUAGGGAAUAUUGCGCAAUGGGGGAAACCCUGACGCAGCAACGCCGCGUGGAGGAUGACACUUUUCGGAGCGUAAACUCCUUUUGUUAGG